rnacentral:rRNA from 1 species
AGUGAACGCUGGCGGUAGGCCUAACACAUGCAAGUCGAACGGCAGCACAGUAAGAGCUUGCUCUUACGGGUGGCGAGUGGCGGACGGGUGAGGAAUACAUCGGAAUCUACUUUUUCGUGGGGGAUAACGUAGGGAAACUUACGCUAAUACCGCAUACGACCUACGGGUGAAAGCAGGGGAUCUUCGGACCUUGCGCGAUUGAAUGAGCCGAUGUCGGAUUAGCUAGUUGGCGGGGUAAAGGCCCACCAAGGCGACGAUCCGUAGCUGGUCUGAGAGGAUGAACAGGCAAACUUGAAAUGAGGCACGGGCCAAGCCCCUUCGGGAGGGAGGAGGUGGGAAUUUUUGGCAAAGGGCGCAAGCCUGAUCCAGCCAUACCGCGUGGGUGAAGAAGGCCUUCGGGUUGUAAAGCCCUUUUAUUGGGAAAGAAAAGCAGCAGGUUAAUACCCCGCUGUUCUGACGGUACCCAAAGAAUAAGCACCGGCUAACUUCGU